GACGAACGCUGGCGGCGUGCUUAACACAUGCAAGUCGAACGGAAAGGCCCUGCUUUUGUGGGGUGCUCGAGUGGCGAACGGGUGAGUAACACGUGAGUAACCUGCCCUUGACUUUGGGAUAACUUCAGGAAACUGGGGCUAAUACCGGAUAGGAGCUCCUGCUGCAUGGUGGGGGUUGGAAAGUUUCGGCGGUUGGGGAUGGACUCGCGGCUUAUCAGCUUGUUGGUGGGGUAGUGGCUUACCAAGGCUUUGACGGGUAGCCGGCCGGAGAGGGUGACCGGCCACAUGGGGACUGAGAUACGGCCCAGACUCCUACGGGAGGCAGCAGUGGGGAAUAUUGCACAAUGGGCGGAAGCCUGAUGCAGCAACGCCGCGUGCGGGAUGACGGCCUUCGGGUUGUAAACCGCUUUCGCCUGGGACGAAGCGUGAGUGACGGUAAUGGGUAAAGAAGCACCGGCUAACUACGUG
rnacentral:rRNA from 1 species